rnacentral:rRNA from 1 species
UACGGAGGGUGCAAGCGUUAUCCGGAUUCACUGGGGUUAAAGGGUGCGUAGGUGGGCAGGUAAGUCAGUGGUGAAAUCUCCGGGCUUAACUCGGAAACUGCCAUUGAUACUAUCUUUCUUGAAUACCGUGGAGGUCAGCGGAAUAUGUCAUGUAGCGGUGAAAUGCUUAGAUAUGACGUAGAACACCAAUUGCGAAGGCAGCUGGCUACACGAAUAUUGACACUGAUGCACGAAAGCGUGGGGAUCAAACAGG